rnacentral:misc_RNA from 1 species
AAGUCGUAACAAGGUUUCCGUAGGUGAACCUGCGGAAGGAUCAUUCAAAUAAAGGGUAGGAAGUGGGGUCUUGAUCUGUAAGUGGAGAGCGUACAGUCCGGCUGCCUCCCCGAAAUGUCUUACAUGUCCCCCACAGCCUGAAGGCCGAUUACAACCCUGAUUAUCUACACUUGUUGCUUUGGGGUGCUCAGGCCCCAGAGGACCCAACUCUCUUGCAUUUAGUGCGUCUGAGUACUAUAUAAUAUUUAAAA